rnacentral:antisense_RNA from 1 species
ACGGGGAGUAACACCAUGUGAAGACAGGUGGAGACUGGAGGGGUGCAUGUACCAACCAAAGGAGUAUCAAGGGCUGGCAGCAGCACUAGAGCAAGCGAAAGGCAUGAAACAGAUUCCUCCCUAGAGCUGUAAGAGGCAGUGUGGCCCUGGCAACACCUUGCUUUAGGACUUCUAACCUCUAGAAUAAUGAGAUAAUGGGAGAGUAUAUUUCUGUUGGUUUUGGCCAUGCGGUUUGUGGUAACUGGUUUCAGCAGCCCUAGGAAUCUAAUACACUGCCCAUGGAACAAAUCCUUUCUUGACCACCAAUGGCUGCAUGUCUUAUCCUGAGAAGAUCAUGGGGAUUUUGGAUGCCAGGUCAACCCUUACACUCAGCAAGGAAGUGGAAGGGCCUCAGUUUCAAACACUUUGUAAACACAGAGAUAAGGUCGUCCCUCUGUCACCCAGCCUGGAGUGCAGUGGAGCCGCCAGGCCUCACUGCAACCUCUAACUCCUGGGCUCAAGCGAUCCUCCAACCUCAGCCUCCUGACUAGCUGGGAUUAUAGGUUAUUUUGUGGAUCAAGUGAAACUUAGAAACAACAACAACAACAAAAAAGCAGUCUGUGAUCAAGAAGAAUUACUCUGUUGCAGCAAUAUAAACUAAGAAAAAAAUAUGCAAAAUUAUCUGCUGCCUUGGGAGAUGACCUCAUGAUGUGUAUUAUUUACUUUAAUAUUUUUAUUUAUUUAUUUAUUUAUUUUUGAGACGGAGUCUCGCUCUGUCGCCCAGGCUGGAGUGCAGUGGCGUGAUCUCGGCUCACUGCAACCUUUGCCUCCCGGGCUCAAGUGAUUCUCCUGCUUCAGCCUCCUGAGUAGCUGGAAUUAUAGGCGCGUGCCGCCAUGCCUGGCU